rnacentral:rRNA from 1 species
AAUAGAUACCCCGGUAGUCCACGCCGUAAACGAUGAGUGCUAAGUGUUAGAGGGCUUCCACCCUUUAGUGCUGCAGCUAACGCAUUAAGCACUCCGCCUAGGGAGUACGGCCGCAAGGCUGAAACUCAAAGGAAUUGACGGGGGCCCGCACAAGCGGUGGAGCAUGUGGUUUAAUUCGAAGCAACGCGAAGAACCUUACCAGGUCUUGACAUCCUUCGCUACCUCUAGAGAUAGAGGGUUCCCCUUCGGGGGACGGAGUGACAGGUGGUGCAUGGUUGUCGUCAGCUCGUGUCGUGAGAUGUUGGGUUAAGUCCCGCAACGAGCGCAACCCUUGACCUUAGUUGCCAGCAUUCAGUUGGGCACUCUAAGGUGACUGCCGGUGACAAACCGGAGGAAGGUGGGGAUGACGUCAAAUCAUCAUGCCCCUUAUGACCUGGGCUACACACGUGCUACAAUGGAUGGUACAAAGGGUCGCGAAACCGCGAGGUGGAGCUAAUCCCAAAAAACCAUUCUCAGUUCGGAUUGCAGGCUGC